rnacentral:rRNA from 1 species
GAUGAACGCUGGCGGCGUGCCUAAUACAUGCAAGUCGAGCGAACGGACGAGAAGCUUGCUUCUCUGAUGUUAGCGGCGGACGGGUGAGUAACACGUGGAUAACCUACCUAUAAGACUGGGAUAACUUCGGGAAACCGGAGCUAAUACCGGAUAAUAUUUUGAACCGCAUGGUUCAAAAGUGAAAGACGGUCUUGCUGUCACUUAUAGAUGGAUCCGCGCUGCAUUAGCUAGUUGGUAAGGUAACGGCUUACCAAGGCAACGAUGCAUAGCCGACCUGAGAGGGUGAUCGGCCACACUGGAACUGAGACACGGUCCAGACUCCUACGGGAGGCAGCAGUAGGGAAUCUUCCGCAAUGGGCGAAAGCCUGACGGAGCAACGCCGCGUGAGUGAUGAAGGUCUUCGGAUCGUAAAACUCUGUUAUUAGGGAAGAACAUAUGUGUAAGUAACUGUGCACAUCUUGACGGUACCUAAUCAGAAAGCCACGGCUAACUACGUGCCAGCAGCCGCGGUAAUACGUAGGUGGCAAGCGUUAUCCGGAAUUAUUGGGCGUAAAGCGCGCGUAGGCGGUUUUUUAAGUCUGAUGUGAAAGCCCACGGCUCAACCGUGGAGGGUCAUUGGAAACUGGAAAACUUGAGUGCAGAAGAGGAAAGUGGAAUUCCAUGUGUAGCGGUGAAAUGCGCAGAGAUAUGGAGGAACACCAGUGGCGAAGGCGACUUUCUGGUCUGUAACUGACGCUGAUGUGCGAAGGCGUGGGGAUCAAACAGGAUUAGAUACCCUGGUAGUCCACGCCGUAAACGAUGAGUGCUAAGUGUUAGGGGGUUUCCGCCCCUUAGUGCUGCAGCUAACGCAUUAAGCACUCCGCCUGGGGAGUACGACCGCAAGGUUGAAACUCAAAGGAAUUGACGGGGACCCGCACAAGCGGUGGAGCAUGUGGUUCAAUUCGAAGCAACGCGAAGAACCUUACCAAAUCUUGACAUCCUUUGACAACUCUAGAGAUAGAGCUUUCCCCUUCGGGGGACAAAGUGACAGGUGGUGCAUGGUUGUCGUCAGCUCGUGUCGUGAGAUGUUGGGUUAAGUCCCGCAACGAGCGCAACCCUUAAGCUUAGUUGCCAUCAUUAAGUUGGGCACUCUAAGUUGACUGCCGGUGACAAACCGGAGGAAGGUGGGGAUGACGUCAAAUCAUCAUGCCCCUUAUGAUUUGGGCUACACACGUGCUACAAUGGACAAUACAAAGGGCAGCGAAACCGCGAGGUCAAGCAAAUCCCAUAAAGUUGUUCUCAGUUCGGAUUGUAGUCUGCAACUCGACUACAUGAAGCUGGAAUCGCUAGUAAUCGUAGAUCAGCAUGCUACGGUGAAUACGUUCCCGGGUCU